rnacentral:rRNA from 1 species
UUCGCAAUGCCCGAAAGGGUGACGAUGCGACGCCGCGCGAGCGAAGAAGGCCCUAGGGUUGUAAAGCUCUGUCGAGGGUUAUGAAAUAUAGAUGGGUUAAUACCCCAUUUAUUUGACAAAAGCCCAAAAGGAAGCCACGGCUAACUCUGUGCCAGCAGCCGCGGUAAUACAGAGGUGGCGAGCGUUGUUCGGUAUUAUUGGGCGUAAAGAGCACGUAGGUGGUUUUGUAAGUCAGGUGUGAAAGCCUUCUGUUCAAAGGAAGAACGGCAUCUGAAACUGCAGAUCUUGAGUGUAGGAGGGGAGAGUGGAACUUCUGGUGGAGCGGUGAAAUGCGUAGAUAUCAGAAGGAACGUCGGCGGCGAAAGCGACUCUCUGGCCUAUUACUGACACUGAGGUGCGAAAGUUAGGGGAGCAAACGGGAUUAGAUACCCCGGUAGUCCUAACCGUAAACGAUGGGCACUAAGUAGAGGGGUUUU